ACACUCCUACGGGAGGCAGCAGUGGGGAAUUUUGGACAAUGGGCGAAAGCCUGAUCCAGCAAUGCCGCGUGAGUGAAGAAGGCCUUCGGGUUGUAAAGCUCUUUUGUCAGGGAAGAAACGGUGAGAGCUAAUAUCUUUUGCUAAUGACGGUACCUGAAGAAUAAGCACCGGCUAACUACGUGCCGGCAGCCGCGGUAAUACGUAGGGUGCAAGCGUUAAUCGGAAUUACUGGGCGUAAAGCGUGCGCAGGCGGUUUUGUAAGUCUGAUGUGAAAUCCCCGGGCUCAACCUGGGAAUUGCAUUGGAGACUGCAAGGCUAGAAUCUGGCAGAGGGGGGUAGAAUUCCACGUGUAGCAGUGAAAUGCGUAGAUAUGUGGAGGAACACCGAUGGCGAAGGCAGCCCCCUGGGUCAAGAUUGACGCUCAUGCACGAAAGCGUGGGGAGCAAACAGGAUUAGAAACCCUUGUAGUCCCAUGA
rnacentral:rRNA from 1 species